rnacentral:rRNA from 1 species
AGAAUCAACGCUGGCGGCGUGCCUAACACAUGCAAGUCGCACGAGAAAAGGGAGCAAUCCCUGAGUAAAGUGGCGCACGGGUGAGUAACACGUGAAUCAUCUACCUCCGAGUGGGGAAUAACCUAGAGAAAUCUGGGCUAAUACCGCAUAACACUUACGAGUCAAAGCAGCAAUGCGCUUGGAGAGGAGUUCGCGGCAGAUUAGCUAGUUGGCGGGGUAAUGGCCCACCAAGGCGAUGAUCUGUA